GUGAACGCUGGCGGUAGGCCUAACACAUGCACGUCGAACGGCAGCACAGUAAGAGCUUGCUCUUACGGGUGGCGAGUGGCGGACGGGUGAGGAAUACAUCGGAAUCUACUUUUUCGUGGGGGCUAACGUAGGGAAACUUACGCUAAUACCGCAUACGACCUACGGGUGAAAGCAGGGGAUCUUCGGACCUUGCGCGAUUGAAUGAGCCGAUGUCGGAUUAGCUAGUUGGCGGGGUAAAGGCCCACCAAGGCGACGAUCCGUAGCUGGUCUGAGAGGAUGAUCAGCCACACUGGAACUGAGACACGGUCCAGACUCCUACGGGAGGCAGCAGUGGGGAAUAUUGGACAAUGGGCGCAAGCCUGAUCCAGCCAUACCGCGUGGGUGAAGAAGGCCUUCGGGUUGUAAAGCCCUUUUGUUGGGAAAGAAAAGCAGCAGGUUAAUACCCCGCUGUUCUGACGGUACCCAAAGAAUAAGCACCGGCUAACUUCGUG
rnacentral:rRNA from 1 species